GAUCAUGGCUCAGAUUGAACGCUGGCGGAAUGCUUUACACAUGCAAGUCGAACGGUAGAGGGGGCAACCCUCGAGAGUGGCGAACGGGUGAGUAAUAUAUCGGAACGUGCCCAGUCGUGGGGGAUAACGUAGCGAAAGUUACGCUAAUACCGCAUACGAUCUAAGGAUGAAAGCGGGGGGAUCUUCGGACCUCGCGCCAUUAGAUGAGCCUAGGUCGGAUUAGCUAGUUGGUGAGGUAAUGGCUCACCAAGGCGACGAUCCGUAACUGGUCUGAGAGGAUGAUCAGUCACACUGGAACUGAGACACGGUCCAGACUCCUACGGGAGGCAGCAGUGGGGAAUAUUGGACAAUGGGCGAAAGCCUGAUCCAGCCAUGCCGCGUGUGUGAAGAAGGUCUUCGGAUUGUAAAGCACUUUAAGUUGGGAGGAAGGGUAGUAACCUAAUACGUUGCUACUUUGACGUUACCGACAGAAUAAGCACCGGCUAACUUCGUG
rnacentral:rRNA from 1 species